UGUGUGAAUAUAUGUGUGUGUGUCUGAAUGUAUGUGUAUGUAUGAAUAUUUGUGUGUGUGUGUAUGAAUGAGGUUUGUUAGUAUGUUUAUAUGAAUAAGUGCAUCUGUUUAAAUGUCUGCAUGUGUGUAAUUUCUAUAAAAAUGGUAUAAAGCUGUGCAAAAUUAAAAAAAUAAUUCUACAGUUUAGGGGAUUGCCAAAAUACAUAUCUGCACUAGUGAUGUCCCGAAUGGUGCGCUGGCGAAUAGUUCCUGGCGAACAUAGCGUGUUCGCGUUCGCCACGGACGGCGAACAUAUGCGAUGUUCGGUCCGCC